CAACCGGGCUCCUCCUGGUCCCCAGUAGUCAGCUGGAGCUGCGGGCAGGACAUCGCACACAGCGGAGGAAGGGCUGCUCCUGCAGCCCCAGCUCGGGGAGCCGGGCAAGGAGCAGAGGCUUUUUUAGCUCAGCCUUUGGAAACCUGGGCAACAGAGGAGGUGGCUGUAGGUGUUGGAAAGCACUUGGGGUCAACUUUGGUCAUGGCUGUCCUGUGUAACUGGGUCAAGUCACUGAAGGCCUAAAGGCAUAUCAGUUGAGAGAUACUGCUGAAGAGGCAUUCCUUUAUUUUCUGAUGAUCCUCCAAACCUGCCUGUGCUGUUCCCUGAUGUGCCAGGAGCUGGGAUUGGUGGUCCCACAGGACAGCAGUGCCUGGCUAUAAACUUCACUGGGAUUGUAAGGUAAGGACAAGCUUUGCUCCCCAGGAAGAAGCUCCACCAGCUAUGCAGCCACCUUAUCCUCGUGACCUGGUGUGACACCAUCUGCCAUGGGCUCAGAGGGCUGCUCAACCCCAGGAGGGACCCAGGUGUCACCACUGAAGCCUCAGUGGUGGGGAGCCAAGCUUGAUCUCCAGCCCCAGGCUCUGCACAGCAAGAGGUCUACCAGCACCAAGCAGUGGCAAAUCAGACUCAGUGCCACAAACAGGGUCUAGAACAAAUGUCUGGCUGUCCAUGAACUGCUUGGAGGAAAAGGCAGCAGCAGGAUAAGGUUAUUAAUGUGGGUUGGAUCCUGCCCUCAGGGCCACAGUUGGCUGAGGCACAGCCAGAGAACACAGCCAGCAUUGUACAUCCUUCUGUCCAUAACCACCAUGGAGAGCACACGUUGUCUGAGCUAAUGGGUCUUCAUAGGAUCCUUCUGGUUGAGAGAUGAUAUCACAGAUUAUAUCUGUGUCCACUUUAGGUCUGGGCUGUUGCUAAGAGAAAAACAAUUCUUGGCAAAUUCCUCGAAGUGCUUGCCUCCUACAGUUUGGCUGAAUACAGUUUGUUCAAGAACCAUGGGUAGGUGUGAGUUUCUGUCUCUUCGCCUUCUGAGAAUUGUUCUCGCCAGUGCAAACCUGAAGAUGAUAAUGCUCCCAUUUAAAAUGAGGUGAAUGCUCAGGCUGACAUGAGUGGGUGGAAAGGGCUUCAAACAGGAUGAAUCUGGGGACAGACCUACCCUGGCCAAGACAAACAGCUGCAGAGAGCUGCAGGAAAGAAAAAAGGGCACUGCUGUUCAAAAUGAUUCAGUCACAUAGGGCUGAUUGAGUCUGCAUAUCCAUCAAUUUAUAACAAAAACCAAUGGCUUUCAUGUGAAGAAAGAAAAGGUACAUCAUUUGUCACACAGGAGGACUGCAGAACUGAUAUCAUUAGGACAACAGACUGAUAUUCCUUGGGACAGAAGAGAUAUGGGAUGAGCACAGAGCAGAAAGCUCUCACUCUCCUUCCUACAUCUGUCUUUCAUUUGCUUUGCCUCUAUCUGCCCGUUGUUGAUGUUUUCUCACAUUAUCUUGGUCCCUUUGUUCAAGCUGUAUUUCAUUCCAAGAAGGCAGGGAGCUCCAGGUGUGAAUGAGGGCUGUGAGCAUGAACUCACUGUCACAGUUAUUAUUGUUAUCAUUCCUCUGAAAACCAGCCUGGUGGAGGUUUGGCUCUGUGGAAUUUGUUCUGCUGUUUUAACUGUAUCCUUGUUGAAUGUGGAAAAUGGAAUGAAAGUGGAAUGAAGAUGUGGAAGGGGGAAUGAGGUGCAGUGCUGUGCACAAUGGCUUGCACCCAAAGGUGCAGCUAGUGAAGUGCUGGCAUGCUGUGGAACAAGAUUUUGAGAUUGCAGGAUUGGGACCUGCUGCUCAAAUGAGUCAAGUGUUCAGGACUCACUGCUCUUCUCCUCUAAUGGGAGAAACAGAAAGUUAAAAAAGCCAAUACAGAAUUUUCAAUGCUCUACAUAGUUUCAAUGUGUUUUAUUUUAAGACCCCAGUGUUAUUCAGUAAUUGUAUUCCCACCACCCAGCUAUUUAGCAAUCUGAACAGAUACUAUUGUUACUAUCACUAUUGUUUCCAUCACUGGCGGUAGACUUGUGGAUGUCUGGUUAUUUUUGUCUUUGGACACCCCCUGUGUGCAUCUCACUUUGCAUAGAUAUUUUAAUGCAUUUUUCAGUGGUUCCCUCUGCUCCAGCUGAACCCCUGGAGAUGUUAUGGAGCCCCUUUGUGUGUGUUGGAUGAACACAUCUCUGGGAUCAGUCUGGAGCAGAUAAGUGCCAUAGCAUUAAGCUGAGCUCCAGCAUUCCCCCAGCCUGGCAUGAUGCAUUCAGUCCCUCCACAAAUCAGGUGCAGCUCAGCCUUAUCCAGCGGGGAUUCGGUGCACAAGCAAUGGUGUGUUUUCCCUCUGAUCUGCUGAGGCAAAUAUCCCUUUGCCAGGGCCAGGGAUAGCCCAUGGCUGGACCACACAGACUCUCCAGAUGGGCUGACACUCCAAAGAUAGGAUGGCAAGCAGCUUUGGCAGUCUGGUUGCUAUUUCAAUAGAUGGACUCUUUUUAGCUUUGUUUUUCAAGAGUUGCCCUUCUAUUUUGCAACAGGCCCUUCCUGUGCCAUGUUUAGCUCAUUCAAACCAGCUCCAGUGUUUAUACCUCCCACUGCAUUUCCUACAGUGGAUAUUUCUAAACCAGCUUUGCUGGUGGAGUCCUCUCCAAAUGGUGUGCUAAAGACCAAAUGAUUUAGCACAUAAUUAAGAAGUAAACAAUGAUCAGCAAGAAGCUUGCAGUGUCAGCUACAAGACAUGGUUUGGAUGAAAGAAAAAGCAAGAUGCCAAGAAAAAUGAGUAAAUCUGUGUGUCUGUAUCUUGAUGUGGAGAGGCAGCUUCUGCUCCAUCCCCAGUGGAGACACAGUUCAAUGGAUAUUUUUUUUUUGUUUUUUGUUUUGCCAUUGGCAGCAACAGCGGUUCAAAGGACACAAAUGGGAGAAAAGAGCUUCCUGCAGCCACCAGGAGUGAGCAUGGAUGCUCCACCUGGGCUUUUGCACACACUCCAGCUGGUUUGUGUGGAAGGGAUCAUUUCCUGGCCGCUCUGUCCCUUGUGCCAGAUGAGAGACGGUUCUGUGCUUCCCAGCACCAGGGCUUGAGCUCUGACACCUGUGACAGGAACUGGUGCUGCUGGUGUAGCUCCAUGGGUUGCAGUGCUGCUUCACAGUACCCAGGCAAAUGGAUUUAGUAGUGAGGGAAGGGAGUAGUUAGAAAGAAAGAGUUGGUUCUGCUUUCUCCAUGUUUCAUCCCAUGUUGGCGUUGGGCAUAAAAGAAGCAGCAUGCCUAAGCCCCACAAACAGAAUGUUCUUGUUUUUCAGUGAUUCCCUAGCUUUUAGUGCAAAGGAAAGAAUCAAGUCACACAAGAUUAUUGUGCUAUGGAUUUAUAAUAACAUUUUAUUAAUAUAUUAUGCUACAAAAAUAUUUUGAUAAAAUAAUAUUAGAAAGCAUCUUUUUAUUACACUCUUCAAAACAGUUCACAAAAGCAGGAGGCAGAACAGGAAAAAAAUCUGAAAUACAUUUGAACUGAAAACUGACAAAUAUGCAGUUUGAAUUUCUGUGUGAGCAUGAUCUGCAGGAUGGUUAAUCAGUCCUAUAGAAGGAAAGUAUUGCCUACUUAUUGCAAAGACCUCUCUGCCUUUAGCUAGAUUAAGGUGCCUCCUGAAAUGUUAGUCAUAGAAAAGGCUGAAUUUGGGUUGGGGCAGAACACAGACAACAUACACAUGUAAAUGUGCACACACACACCCACCCACACACACACCCCCCCACACCCUAUGAUUUCGAACUUCAGCAAAUUAGCUUUCUGCUUCAGUUAAGCUGAAACAUGUUUAAAUUGAAGCUGGGUUUUAGCACGCUCCAUGGAACAUUGAUCACUUCAGAGAUAUGACAGGACCAUACAAUUUUUGGAUAUAAUACAGAAAUACGGUACUAAACAAAGUUUGGCAUGGUAACACUUAAGCUGAGAUAAUAACCUUGAUACUUUGGUUUCUCUAACAUAAAUAUAUGAUGGGAAAUUCCUCCCUAACAGUGGUAUAUGGUAAUGACUGAGUCAUAUCACUUGACUAAUCAAUGCACUAAACAUAGAUUAAGUUCUCCCUCUUUCCAUUCUCUCUUUCUCCACAAUUGUAUACUGAAGAACUUAGAUAAAUAUACAAUUCUGUACCUUGGGUGUUCCUAAAUUACAGUGGAGCUUAGAGGAAUGGGAAGAGAAGUUCAACAAAGCAGAUUUUGGACACCUGUAUAAAGCAUAGUUAUCAUAAAUCAUGUUCAUCAUUUAUUGCCAGAAGACUUAUUGCAUUAUUCAACAGCUCUAGGGAUCGAAGAGAAACCACUUCAGUCAUUAAAUAUAAAAUACCUUCUGUCCCAGCUUACUGACUGGUUCUCCAAGUGGCAGUGCAUGUUAAUAUAGUAUCUGUAGUUAAGCAAGAAAAGCAUUAAAACACUGAGAGAGGAGAGAUUAGAUUUGUUGCUGAUGAUAUGAGAUUAUUUAUUCCACCAGGGCAAGAUCUUGGCAGGUACUCAGCAUUUGUUGAUAAUGCUACACUUACAUUUAAUGUGAAUUGUGUUGGUGUCCCUUGUAACAGCGUUAAGAAGAUAAUCAUGAGACCAUUGAGCUUUGGACUGACCCAAAGUCGUGUCCUAGACUGCCAGACACUGGGUGACUCUCUUGAUGCUGAUUCUCAGAGAUAAGCAGGAUCACAAGUGUUUGCUAUUUUAUGUGGUGGGCAUGAAUGGUUUUGCUAAAUCUCCUGCUCUUGGAAUCUUGUGAUACCAUGGGAAUCUGAGCUUUCCUUUGGAAGAAAGAGUUGAGUCAGUUUUUAGUUUUCUGAGAAACCCACAGAGGAAACUGAAGCCCCCUGAAGCUGGUAGUCACUGCUGCUUCCAGAGCAUGUAUCAAAUCUGGUCCAGGUUUUAAAGUCAUGGUUUAGAAAACCAUUAGAAAUUCAGAAAUCAUGAUCCAUUGUGACAGUGUGCAUAAGUCUGUGCUAACCACUACUACUGUGUUUUAAUUAAUGCUGGGCUGCCACAGCUGAUUAGUAAACAACUCAUUUUAUCAACCACAGUGAGGGUUCAUUAUCCAGCAUUGCUCUGCACACUGUAUUGAAGAAAGUGACCCUAAGUUGUACUUUAGGGUAAGACAAGAGAAUAAAAGGAGUGUUUCGUUAAAGACCUGUGCUGAAGCCAUUCAUGUGGGGUUCCUGAGCUAAGAUCUACAGAAACCUACUUAACCUUUAAGUCAUGUCUCCUCCCUGAGCCAGAGAGAGCUCAGAUGACUGAGGGAGCUGCUUCUAGGUGGCAAAAUUCAGGUGUAGACCCUAAAUCCAACAGACACCUUGUUUUGACACCUGGGCUGCACAAAUGUGGGGCACCAGCACAAGGGUUCUAGUAAAACUCAUUAAUUUCCAAUGACAAAUUGCCAGAAAAUGCAAAGAUGUUAAAACAUUGAUAUCCAAGCCAUUUGCAUCCUGUGAUAGCCAAACAUACCACAGCAUCUGAGCUAAUGAAAAUUGAAUAUUGCUGUCCAGAAAACCUCACUGGUGAUAAAAGAGUGACUAUUCUGUGCAGCACAAUGACAUCUGGGAGUGUGGAGAGAUCUGUGUGCUCCUAAUUUAAAAAAAAAAAAAAAAAAAAAGAAUAAAGCCCCAGAGGUUUAUGGAGAAAGCCACAGAUUGGGAAACUUGAGAAUUGUAAUUUCUAGUCUUGGUCCUGUUGUUGUUUUUCCUUACAGUCCUGGACAAGUUGUUUCUGUUUUUUGCUCUUUUUUGUCUCCCUUAUCUUUACAUGGUCCUGUCUAUUUAUACUCUAGGUUUUCCAACACCUGGAACUAUUCCUGGGAUAGCACCACAGAAUAAUUUCUGGAUACGAUCCGGUUACAACAAAUAAAAUUCAUUUUGGUUU